rnacentral:rRNA from 1 species
AGCAGCCGCGGUAAUUCCAGCUCCAAUAGCGUAUAUUAAAGUUGUUGCAGUUAAAAAGCUCGUAGUUGAAUUUCGGGAUCAAUGUUUCGGUCAUGCCCUUGGUAUGUACUGAUAUUAUUGGUUUCUCACCUUCUAAAGAACCGUAAUGCCAUUAAUUUGGUGUCACGGGGAAUUAGGACUGUUACCUUGAAAAAAUUAGAGUGUUUAAAGCAGGCUCACGCUUGAAUACAUUAGCAUGGAAUAAUGAAAUAGGACAUCCGAUUCUAUUUUGUUGGUUUCUAGGAUCGAUGUAAUGAUUAAUAGGGAUAGUUGGGGGCAUUAGUAUUCAAUUGUCAGAGGUGAAAUUCUUGGAUUUAUUGAAGACUAACUACUGCGAAAGCAUUUGCCAAGGAUGUUUUCAUUAAUCAAGAACGAAAGUUAGGGGAUCGAAGACGAUCAGAUACCGUCGUAGUCUUAACCAUAAGCUAUGCCGACUAGGGAUCGGACGAUGUUAAUUUUUUAAUGACUCA